ensembl:lncRNA
GCCCAUGUUUCUCUCUGGAAUUGAAGUCACAAGAUGGAAAAUUAUUCAUAAUUGCAAUCAUAACAUACCAUACAAUAGAGAGUUUCCUGCCAAGGAAACUUUGAUUUCAAAGACCUUACGCAAGUCGCAUGUAGUCGUGACUAUUUUUUUUUUGCAAGAAGCUCCUGCCAGCCUUCAAACUCAACACAACCCAGGUGAUAUCCACAUCAUGGGUACUACCAAGAUUUUCCUGCUCCUUCUCUCAGUGGCCCUGUUGGCCCUGAGCUCAGCUCAAGGAACACCCAAGGAAGCCCCAAGACAGCAACCUGCUGAACCUGAACCAGCCCCAAGGCAACAAACUAGGAAAAGUAAAGACGCAGAAGAGCCAGGCGACCCACCUGAAGGAGAACCAGGCGAACCACCUGAAGGAGAACCAGGUCCACCACCUGAAGGAGAACCAGGCGAACCACCUGAAGGAGAACCAGGUCCACCACCUGAAGGAGAACCAGGUGCACCACCUGAAGGAGAACCAGGUGCACCACCUGAAGGAGAACCAGGUGCACCACCUGAAGGAGAACCAGGUGCACCACCUGAAGGAGAACCAGGUGCACCACCUGAAGGAAGAAGCUAUCUCAGACCUAGCCACAAGCCUACUCAUGCCAAUAUCUUCAAGGAGAGAAGAGAAGAAGAAAUAGGAGAACCAGGUGCACCACCUGAAGGUAAGUAGUAUGUCUAUCUCUAAACACUCCUUUCUUUCCCCGUUCCUUGAGGACCCUAGACCUUGUUCUCAUUUGAAACCAUUUGGCACAUCCACUCUUAAAGUUCAGUACCAAGAAAGAGAGGGUAAUAAUGAACUAGGAGGGUGGUCAGGUUAAAAGGCUUUGUUUUCUCUUGCCAUUGCAUAGCUCACAUAUUUCCACCAGAGAUUUUCCCAGAUCAAAAAUCCAAAAUGAUUUUCUCAUCUUUUCCUAAAGCAUAGUUUGCUUUUUUCCAUUGCCUAAUACCCUAGAUCAAAGAUUUCAAGAUCACUUUGUAAUAUUUAAUGCAAUGUUCUCUUCAUGUCUCUGCAGUGUGGGUAUUUCUCUCUCUCUUUCUCUGUGUUUUCACAGUCCCUCUGUGUCUGGUCUUUCUCUGAAUUGAUAUCUUUAUCUCUCUGUCUCUGUCUUGCUUUUUCUCUGCCUUUGUCUCUCCCUCUGUCUCUCUCUCUUUCACACACACACACACACACACACACACACACACACACACACAUGCACACACACAUUUUCUCUGUA